rnacentral:snoRNA from 1 species
AAAGAUCAAUGAUGAUAAACUUAAGGCUUGUUUCUCAAAACAUUCGCAGUGGCCGCCUAAAGCUUUCGCCUUUCGCCGGGCUUGAGAGUUAAUGCAGCUUUUAUCCUUCCUUGGAUGUCUGAGAUCUUU